rnacentral:rRNA from 1 species
UACGUAGGUGGCGAGCGUUGUCCGGAAUUACUGGGUGUAAAGGGCGUGUAGGCGGGGAGGCAAGUCAGAUGUGAAAUACCGCAGCUUAACUGCGGGGCUGCAUCUGAAACUGCUUCUCUUGAGUGUCGGAGAGGAAAGUGGAAUUCCCAGUGUAGCGGUGAAAUGCGUAGAUAUUGGGAGGAACACCAGUGGCGAAGGCGACUUUCUGGACGAUAACUGACGCUGAGGCGCGAAAGCGUGGGGAG